CCGCCAGAAGACUACGAGCGAAAAGCUUAAAACUCAAAGGACUUGGCGGUGCUCCACACCCGACUUAGAGGAGCCUGUCCUAUAAUCGAUACUCCACGAUAAACCUCACCACCCAUUGCCUAAAACAGCCUAUAUACCGCCGUCGCCAACUUACCCCAUGAGGGCUUAAUAGUAAGUACAAUAGUACGUCAACUAAAACGUCAGGUCAAGGUGUAGCUAAUAGGGUGGAAGAGAUGGGCUACAUUUUUU
rnacentral:rRNA from 1 species